AUUGAACGCUGGCGGCAGGCUUAACACAUGCAAGUCGAGCGGAGAUGAGGUGCUUGCACCUUAUCUUAGCGGCGGACGGGUGAGUAAUGCUUAGGAAUCUGCCUAUUAGUGGGGGACAACAUUCCGAAAGGAAUGCUAAUACCGCAUACGUCCUACGGGAGAAAGCAGGGGAUCUUCGGACCUUGCGCUAAUAGAUGAGCCUAAGUCGGAUUAGCUAGUUGGUGGGGUAAAGGCCUACCAAGGCGACGAUCUGUAGCGGGUCGGAGAGGAUGGUCCGCGACACUGGGACUGAGACACGGCCCAGACUCCUACGGGAGGCAGCAGUGGGGAGUAUUGGACAAUGGGGGGAACCCUGAUCCAGCCAUGCCGCGUGUGUGAAGAAGGCCUUAUGGUUGUAAAGCACUUUAAGCGAGGAGGAGGCUACUGAGACUAAUACUCUUGGAUAGUGGACGUUACUCGCAGAAUAAGCACCGGCUAACUCUGUGCCAGCAGCCGCGGUAA
rnacentral:rRNA from 1 species